rnacentral:rRNA from 1 species
UGCCUUUAGGUUCGGAAUAACUCAGGGAAACUUGUGCUAAUACCGAAUGUGCCCUUCGGGGGAAAGAUUUAUCGCCUUUAGAGCGGCCCGCGUCUGAUUAGCUAGUUGGUGGGGUAAUGGCCCACCAAGGCUACGAUCAGUAGCUGGUCUGAGAGGAUGACCAGCCACAUUGGGACUGAGACACGGCCCAAACUCCUACGGGAGGCAGCAGUGGGGAAUCUUGCGCAAUGGGCGAAAGCCUGACGCAGCCAUGCCGCGUGGAUGAUGAAGGUCUUAGGAUUGUAAAAUCCUUUCACCGGUGAAGAUAAUGACUGUAGCCGGAGAAGAAGCCCCGGCUAACUUCGUGCCAGCAGCCGCGGUAAUACGAAGGGGGCUAGCGUUGCUCGGAAUUACUGGGCGUAAAGGGAGCGUAGGCGGACAUUUAAGUCAGGGGUGAAAUCCCAGAGCUCAACUCUGGAACUGCCUUUGAUACUGGAUGUCUUGAGUGUGAGAGAGGUAAGUGGAACUCCGAGUGUAGAGGUGAAAUUCGUAGAUAUUCGGAAGAACACCAGUGGCGAAGGCGACUUACUGGCUCAUUACUGACGCUGAGGCUCGAAAGCGUGGGGAGCA